UAAUGAAUGAAAUGAAAGUUCAGUGAAACAAAUUCAUCUUCUUCAUAAGUUUUUCAGUUUUUAUAAAUCUCUUUAUUUAUAAGGUAGGGAAGAUAUUUGUUUUUUUCAUCUUUGUAGAUUUGGGAUCUAUGGGAAAAAGGUGAAGCAAAGGACAUCAUAGACAACUUUAUGGAUCAAGGGACUUAUAACGAGAGCGAAGUGGUGAAGUGCAUACACAUUGGGUUGCUUUGCGUACAAGAAAACGCUUCGGACAGAGUAGAUAUGUCCUCUGUUCUCAUCAUGUUGGGUCAAAACGCUAUUGAUCUUCCAAAUCCUAAGCUUCCUGCGUUUACUUCCGUGAGAAGGAGAGGCCGCGAAAUUGUUUCUUUGCUCAUUGCAGAGCCGGGUAGUUCUGUUAAUGACGUUACCUUCACCGAUGUUCAAGGUCGUUAAAUUUCUUACAAAGAAAGAAGAAGAAAAAGAGAGAGUAAAUUUCUUUCUUGGCUUCACUAUAAUAAAAUUUAUGCAGAAGAGUCAAAGAUGUUGUUAUGUAUUUAAUGGAAUUAUGAAAGGUCAAAACUGAUCUUAUCCACAAUUCCAAACUAUCCAGGUUCGUUCAUUUCACUAUAUAUAUACAUAGCAAAGCAACCCAAACACACAAAACCAUAAUAGUGUGGCUUCUCAAGAAAAAAAAAUGGCUUCUCAAGAACAUAUGUGGUUUAUGUUCUUUCUCCUUUUCAGCUUCUUCAUCCAGGCUGAUUCGGCUCGGGGAGGUUCAUGUUCUCGGUGGUUAGCAUCCAAAUCACGGUUGAAACAUUAGGUCGAUCGUCAGCAACUUCUUGCACACACAACAAACCAAUCUGAACACAUUUUGUUAUCUCUUUCUCGAAAGACUCAUCAAAGACGUUUGGAUCUGCUAGAGAAGCAGCCUCUCCCUCAUUCCACAGCGUCCACACCUGUAAGAAUAUCAAAUUUACAGGUACAGAAGACCCCUGCAUAUUCCUUCCAUUAUGUUCAACCGUGUCUUCCAGUCAAGAAUCUUUUGCUUCAAAGGGUCUGAAGAAAGAGCUUACAAAAUCAUUAGCUUUCCUAAGUAAGAACAAAAGAGAGGAGAUCAUUUUACCAAAUAGAUAGGCAUCCAAGCUUUUCUUUGGCAUAUAUUCGUAGACUAGCAACCUUUCUUCACCUUCAAUGCAACAGCCAAGUAACUUCACCAGAUUCCUAUGUUGCAACUUCGAAAUGACAACCACUUCGUUCAUAAGCUCCUCAAGUCCUUGUCCUGAUGCCCUUGAGAGCCUCUUCACUGCUAUUUCUUGCCCUUCAGGACCAAAUCCGCCUUGUCCGAGCUUGCUUCUGAGAGAGAAGUCAUCAGUUGCUGUAGCUAACACUUGAAACUCAAAGAGCGGAAGCUCCUCUAGCUUGACUUGGUUAGAAGCAGGCUCAUCACCACUGUUAACUUCUUCCAUUCUCUUUAACAAUUGCUCUACGCUUCUAUCUUUCUUUGGUUCUCCUAAGGCAACGAUUGAAGAUGCAAACAAAUAAUUAUAAAAGGAAAAAUCUCAAGCAAGAGUAAAGAAAAUUCUAACCCGGACGCUUUUUGAGUUUCAGGCAUGCUAAAAGAACGCAGACCGCAACAACAAACACAACGCCUAGAACAAGUGCUGUGAUCAUUACUGCUCUCUUGCUAUGUGCUUCUACAAGAUUUUGGUGAGAUGUCAUUAGUCAAUGAAGAAGAAUAAAUGUGAGAUUAGUAAAGUUUUUUUUUUACUCACUGAGUUCAGAAUGCGAGAGACGAAUAUAAAGAUCAAUGCCACUUCCCAAGAACGAUUGCAUAUCAACCAAGCUACCGCUCCAAAGCAUGCAUCCAAUGCCUUGAUCAUAUGCAUAAGCUGUGCAAGAACAGUUAUCUAAACAAGCCUUAGGACAAGCUUGCGCAUUAGCUAAAGACGGUUGCACAUUGACAGGUACUUUCAUCUUCUGCACUUUCAAAAACCAAUCUUCUUUUCCUCCAUUACUACUUCCAUUUCUAACCCUUUCACACCUUAAUGGAGCUCUUCUCACACAUCCAUUAAUCCAGUUUCCUCCACUCCACUCUGUGCUAUUCCUCGGCACAAAACCUUGUAUGCACUUGCACUGUGGAUCUUCCCGGUAAUUGCAGCUCCCAUAAGGACCACAUCUACUGUAUUCAUCACAGUCUGUAGAUGGGAACCGAACACCGACUCGCCAGUCAUUCAUAGAAGUACUCCAGUCUCUCUGGUAUAUAGCUCCAUUAGGAUCCAAGUUGAAGUGAUACAUGAAGGAGUCAUUAGCAUAGCUCAACGAAACCGUUCCGUGGUUAUCAUUGUUGAGGUUAAAACCAUCAAUGUUGAGGAGAGAAUCCAUAUCCGGUAAACCGAUGAAAACCUGACCAUUCCAGGGACCGCUACGCCACUGUGGAACCUUGUUCUUCCAGAUUAGAAGCUCGGGAAACGGGAAAGCGACAAGGCCAACUGUAUAGUUCCCUGUUGAAGGAUCUGUAUAGUUUCUCCAAGAAGUAAGACCGAUGUUUUCUCCGGUUUUACUGUUGGUCAAGAGACUCAUUCUUGGCAACACAGAGCUAUAGGGAUGCUUGAAACUCUCCCAUAUGAUCUCUCCGUUGUUUCUGUUGUCUUGUAGCCUAAGAUUCCCGUUUUCCAUUAGCUGGACCCAAGUAGCAUUUGGAGCUACUGGUACUGUGACGUUGGUAGACCAUAUACUGCGGUUUCUACCAUCGGUAACCACGAGGUUUCCGUCGUCAGAGAUGGAAACAACACCGGAAGUGUCGUUGAUGGGAGCGUCUCUGUUGGCGACCCAGACCACUGUUUGAACUGGAAUCUUGUCGUACCAAAUCCCAACAUAACGUAAGCGAGAAGUGGAGUUUGCAGGAGUGAAGAAACCAAACCUGAAAAUGCCCUUUUUGCAUAGAAGUGUCUUUGACUCUGAGUCUUUGAUCGGAGUUGAGAAGGUGAGUCUGUCUUCGCCGAAACAUAGCCUCAGAGAGAAGCAAGAGAAUGCUGCAAGAAGAAGAAUAAGAACAAAACAAGGAUGUGAGUUCAGUAGAACCACCAUAACUACUAAGUGAAACAGAGAAGUUCUAGUUUUGCUUUGUUGUUUCUCUUUGUAAGAUAUAGUGUACGAGAGGUAAGUUAAUAUAGUGGUGGUCUUUGUCUCUAUAAGAAGACUUAAGAAGAGGAAAGUGCUGAUGUUUUAAUCUUUCAAGGAAGAUUUUUGGUUCUGUCGUAGUGGGACAUAAUGGGCAGUGACUUCAACAUAGUAAGUCUAGCGAUUUUGUUAUUGAAUGGUGAAAGGUCAUAAGUUACCAUCCCUCUCAAUCAACUUGAUGUUCUUUGUCUUUCUGUAAAGUCACAUGCAAACUAUUCGAGUGAUAACUAUGUUUUAGAAA